GCCGCACAGCCUCACGGGAGUUGCGGUUCCAACCCUACCCGCUCAGAGGACCCUGGCGCGGUCGUUGUAAACUGGAUUGGAGGCACUGUUACCAGGGAGUGAACCUGGGCAAAUGUGUGCCAUCAGUCGAAGACUUGGUUUCUUCAUCUGUGCAGACUGUGAUUCUGAUGGGAACUGUGCCUCUGCCUAUUUAGGACCUCUCUCCCCAGGAGGCCAUCUACAAGGGGAUCUAGGUGACCUGCUGUUGAAGAUCCAGCUUGCCAGGGACUUAGGUUUAUCUUGUUAUGUUUGCUACUGGUUACAAAUUCUAUUUUCUGUACAAUUAGUCAGACUAAAGUUUUCACUGUGUUUGUUUGGCAAAACGAAUUAAACAGAAAGUAAGGUUUUAA